rnacentral:rRNA from 1 species
AUGGAAGCAAAUCAGCCACAAGGAUUUGGAGUUGAACAGAAGUCAGGACCAGAGCAAACAGAUGAGAUGCUAGGAUCACAGGUUAACCAAAAGUUAACGCAAAUGUGCCUAGACGACGAUGUUGUGGAAGCUGGCAUUGUUCAAGGAAAGCAAGAUGAUCCAGAGGCAAGAUUGGAGGUUCAUCAGAAGUUUGCUGAAAUGUGCCUAGACACUGCUGUGGGAACUGAUGUUAACCAAGAAAAGCAAUCUGAUCAAGAGGCAAGAUCGGAGGCUGAUCAAAAGCCUGCAGAAACUAUCAGGCAGUGCACAGUUGUGGAAGCCAAUGUUAAGCCAGAAGAGCAGCAGGCUGCUGCUAAUCCAGGUGUCAUUUACCGCUGCAAAAAGUGUCGGAGGAUGGUAGCAACACAAGAGUACGUCGUCACGCACGAGGUAGGCCUAGGAGAGGCAGGCUUCUUAAAGCGCAGAAACGAUGCGGAUGAGAAGAAGCCUGAAUGCAGUGCCUGCAUCUUCGUGGAGCCCAUGAAGUGGAUGCAGGCUGUGGAAGAGGGGUACGUUUCGAACAAGCUGUGGUGCAUGGGAUGCCAGACCCGGCUGGGAUCGUUCGACUGGGCAGGCAUGCAGUGCUGCUGCGGAGCGUGGGUGAUCCCGGCUUUCCAGCUGCUCAAAAGCAGGAUCGACGAGUCUCACAUGUGA